ensembl:lncRNA
GCUAUCGAGUCAUUUCCUGUCCCAAUUACCAGACGCCAGCUGCGGCGAUUUCGCCUUACCUGUGACAGUGUAAACCGAUCAUAAUCCUCUAGUUUUCCUCGGCAGGAUGUAUAACAGCAACAGGCGGUUGAUGCGGUGGGCGUUGAUUGUACAGGGGUACAAUUUAACGAUCCAGCAUAUUAAGGGUUCUGACAACGUUGUCACUGAUGCACUCUCGCGAGUCUGGUGAGAGAUUUGUUGCCAGGGGUCUCCGUUGACAGGUUACGUGGUGUACUGUCGGUGUGACACUAACUGUAUGUUGUGUCAUUUUAUGGUGGGCGUGUUACGUCCCCUGUUCUGUGUAUAGGUAUGUGUUCUGUUUUGUGUGUGUGUGUGUGUGUUCAUACAGGUGGUACUGAUCAUCCAUGAUCUCCGUUCAUCUUGGCUCCACCCACUCUCGUUACCCGGUUCAGCUGUUUCCACUCAUCUCCAAUCCCAUCAUGCCCUUCUGUCAGUAUAUGUACCCCUGUGUUUGUUUCACCCGGGGAGGGUGUCACUCCGGUUGUGUGUAUGGAGUGCUGGUGUAUGGUAGUUAUUUAGUUCUGGUGAUUUGGUGUACUGUGUAUUCAAUUAAUUGUUUUUUUUUCUUUUGUUCUUUUUCUUACAGGGGGAUGAGGAGUAGUUUAGCCCUGCUCCGGAGUUUACAUACCUGCACGUAGGGUUACUCUCCUGUCUAACAACACUAGCUACACCUGGCUGGGCCACCUACUGUAAGUUUGGUUAGGGCGUCUUGUUAGUGUGCCAGUUAGUGGUUUUCGUUGGGAGAUAGGACAGGUAAGGGGGUGGGAGGCAUUUUGUUCUUUUCUUUGCUUUGGUACCGCCAGCCCUCCUCAUUUCCCCUGUUAACAGCGCUUAAAUAAAAGCCUGCUUACCCCAACUUCAGGUGAUGUUGUUUUCUUGCACCUACGACGCCAUACCCGUUUACUGG